GACAAACGCUGGCGGCGUGCCUAAAACAUGCAAGUCGAACGGACUCUUCGGAGUCAGUGGCGGACGGCUGAGUAACACGUAGGUGACCUGCCCUUGAGUGGGGGAAUAACGGUCCGAAAGGAUCGCUAAUACCGCAUACGACCGCUGCAUUUUGGUGUGGUGAGGAAAGCCGAAAGGCGCUCGAGGAGGGGCCUGCGUCCGAUUAGCUAGUUGGUGGGGUAAGGGCCUACCAAGGCGACGAUCGGUAGCUGGUCUAAGAGGAUGAUCAGCCAGACUGGGACUGUGACACGGCCCAGACUCCUACGGGAGGCAGCAGUUAGGAAUCUUGGGCAAUGGGCGAAAGCCUGACCCAGCAACGCCGCGUGAAGGAUGAAAUCCCUCGGGAUGUAAACUUCGCAAGGAACGGGAAGAAUAAGUAGAAGCGAAUACCUUCUAUGAUG
rnacentral:rRNA from 1 species